rnacentral:rRNA from 1 species
ACGCUCGACCACCUACGGGAGACAGCAGUAGGGAAUCUUCCACAAUGGGCGCAAGCCUGAUGGAGCAACACCGCAUGAGUGAAGAAGGGUUUCGGCUCGUAAAGCUCUGUUGUUGGAGAAGAACGUGCGUGAGAGUAACUGUUCACGCAGUGACGGUAUCCAACCAGAAAGUCACGGCUAACUACGUGCCAGCAGCCGCGGUAAUCUGAGCGGGCUGGCAAGGC